CCAAAGAUGCUCGUGUAGGUCUUCUGUUUAGUGGCAAUCAUACUACAAAUUUAUUUAGCCUCCUUUUUGUGAAGGUUUUUGAAAUUACUACAUCCUCAUAUAGCCAUAAAAAGAAUGCAUUAAACUUUUUGGAUCAGCUGUCCUCAGUCUAUCGGCAGAAAUACAUCCUUACAUCUCCUAUGGGUGUUGAUGGGACCCAAGCAUUUAUUGAUGAGAUCUACAAGCUUGCCGAGUCUAACGGGUUACCAUCUGAGAGCUUUAGAUCUUCCCUCUCAGAAUUUUCUGCUGAUGAAGUGAGAAGCCAUUUGAGUGAGGCAGAGAAGUUUUUGUCUACAACCCUUGGGUCUGAAUCUGGUGUCAAUGCUAUCUUUACUAAUGGAAGGGU